rnacentral:rRNA from 1 species
CGCAUCUGUGCAUGCAGCAUAUCAAUAAGCGGAGGAAAAGAAACUAACAAGGAUUCCCUCAGUAACGGCGAGUGAAGCGGGAAGAGCUCAAAUUUGAAAUCUUGAAAGGUCACCUUUCACGAAUUGUAGUUUAAAGAAGUGUUUUCUGUUACGAUCGUAAUAUAAGUUCUUUGGAAUAGGACAUCACAGAGGGUGAGAAUCCCGUCUAUGAUUGCGAUUUGUAGCUUUGUGAUACACUUUCAAAGAGUCGGGUUGUUUGGGAAUGCAGCCCAAAACGGGAGGUAAAUUUCUUCUAAGGCUAAAUAUUGGCGAGAGACCGAUAGCGAACAAGUACCGUGAGGGAAAGAUGAAAAAGAACUUUGAAAAGAGAGUUAAAUAGUACGUGAAAUUGUCAAAAGGGAAGCGUUUAACACCAGUGUUGUUUUCUGAAAAUCAACCUCUGUUAGCUUUAUGCAUGUUUGUUUAGACCUAAUCAGCUAUCUUGCAUGUUCUAUUGUUUGCAGUGGUGCACUUUUCAGUUUACAGGUCAACAUCAGUUUUUUUUACCGUAAAAAAGUUAAAGAAAGGUAGCUCAUGGCUCCGGUCGUGAGUGUUAUAGUCUUUUUCCUAUGCGGUAGGAGAGACUGAGGUCUGCAGUGUAGGCUAUUUGGCUAGAUACUCAGGUGCUAUGUGAUACCAUUUCAUAAACAACUUGUUGAUUAUGUUUUGUCUAUUGCAUACUCGCUUGUACUAUCAUACCUACGCUUAGGAUGUUAAAGUCAUCGUAUCGCGC